CCUACGGGAGGCAGCAGUGAGGAAUAUUGGUCAAUGGACGAGAGUCUGAACCAGCCAAGUAGCGUGAAGGAUGACUGCCCUAUGGGUUGUAAACUUCUUUUAUAUGGGAAUAAAACGUUCCACGUGUGGGAUUUUGUAUGUACCAUAUGAAUAAGGAUCGGCUAACUCCGUGCCAGCAGCCGCGGUAAUACGGAGGAUCCGAGCGUUAUCCGGAUUUAUUGGGUUUAAAGGGAGCGUAGGUGGAUUGUUAAGCCAGUUGUGAAAGUUUGCGGCUCAACCGUAAAAUUGCAGUUGAAACUGGCAGUCUUGAGUACAGUAGAGGUGGGCGGAAUUCGUGGUGUAGCGGUGAAAUGCUUAGAUAUCACGAAGAACUCCGAUUGCGAAGGCAGUUCACUGGACUGCAACUGACACUGAGGCUCGAAAGUGUGGGUAUCAAACAGGAUUAGAUACCCUUGUAGUC
rnacentral:rRNA from 1 species